CUCGUAGGUGGUUUGUCGCGUUGUUCGUGAAAACUCACAACUCAAUUGUGGGCGUGCGGGCGAUACGGGCAGACUGCAGUACUGCAGGGGAGACUGGAAUUCCUGGUGUAGCGGUGGAAUGCGCAGAUAUCAGGAGGAACACCGGUGGCGAAGGCGGGUCUCUGGGCAGUAACUGACGCUGAGGAGCGAAAGCGUGGGGAGCGAACA
rnacentral:rRNA from 1 species